rnacentral:rRNA from 1 species
UCCACGCUGUAAACGAUGGAUACUAGACGUUGGUAUCAUUAAAGAUAUCAGUGUCGCAGUUAACGCGAUAAGUAUCCCGCCUGGGGAGUACGGCCGCAAGGUUAAAACUCAAAGGAAUUGACGGGGACCCGCACAAGCGGUGGAGCAUGUGGUUUAAUUCGAUACAACGCGAAGAACCUUACCUACCCUUGACAUCCACAGAACUUUCCAGAGAUGGAUCGGUGCCUUCGGGAACUGUGAGACAGGUGCUGCAUGGCUGUCGUCAGCUCGUGUUGUGAAAUGUUGGGUUAAGUCCCGCAACGAGCGCAACCCUUAUCUUUAGUUGCCAUCAGGUAAUGCUGGGCACUCUAGAGAGACUGCCGCUGAUAAGG